AUUUCACUUAGAAUCAUCGUACCUGAAUCCACUCAUUAUGCUGCUACGGGCCUGAUGACAUAGAUUUCAUUGCUGAGUGAUACUGCAUUGGACUUAAAAUCAUCGUACCUGAAUCCACUCAUUAUGCUGCUACGGGCCUGAUGACAUAGAUUUCAUUGCUGAGAGAUAUUGCAUUGUACGUAAAAUCAUCGUACCUGAAUCCACUCAUUAUGCUGCUACGGGCCUGAUGACAUAGAUUUCAUUGCUGAGUGAUACUGCAUUGUAUGUAAGUACCACAACUUCUUUAUCCAUUUUUCGC